GGGUUACGGCGAGGCGGUGGCGCGCGCCGAGGGGAGAGGCGGUUGCUGACAGGUGGCGCCUGCGCACUGGGAGCGCUCAUUGUGCCCCGCAGCUGCCGAACCGCCCGCCAGCCCGCCCGCCCGCCAGCCCGCCAGCCGCCCGUUCGGCGCGUCAGUCUGCGAGAGUCCAGUGGUGGGUGCGGAGCCUGCAGCCGUUCCCGUGGCCUCCUCCUAUUCCCCGUUCCCCUCACCUCUACCCCUACACUCCUUUCCCCAUUCCGGCUCCGUCACCCUCCCGUCCCCCACACUCAGGACAAGAAUGCCCUGCCCGGAACAACCCAGCAGCGCCUAGAUGGCUUUGGUCACGGUCCAGCGGUCGCCUACCCCCAGCACCACCUCCAGCCCCUGUGCCUCGAGCUCUCAUUUGGAAGGCAGUGAAUCAGCAGCGUUACUUUGCUGUGAAUGUGAAGAAUCAGAAAUCUUUAGUGAUUCCAAUAAGCUAUACUGAAGAGUGUACCAAGUCACAGUGUAUGCUACCUGGAACUUCCUGAGAACUGAGCAUUUUAUUCUUGCUGAAAAUUUUUUACCCAAUUUUAGAAGAAUGACACAUGGGAAAACCAACUUUAUUUUAUUGCUGUUGAUUAUUUCUUAAAAUAGGAAAAGGAACUUAAUCCUUUCACUUCUUCAUCAACCACUUAGUAUAUGCCACACACUGUUCUAGUUGCUUGGGAUACAUCUGUGAACAAAUCCAAAAAGCACUGCCCUAUGAAGCUUAUAGUCUGAUGAUUGUUGCCAUUUUACCUUUUGCCUCUGCCAAAUAAGUACUGGAUUCAAAUCCUAGCACAACCAAAUGUUGUCUGUGAACUUGGAAAGUCAUUUCUCCCUCUUUGAUCCUUAAAAUUGUAAGCCUAGUAAUCCUGUUGUCAUGUUAUCAUUCAUUUGGGUGUCUUAAAAAUCAUGCAUCACAUUGGUUCUUGUUAAUUGCUUGGAUUUGUACUCAGAGUAGCCUUACGCAAAAUAACUUAAAGAAAUUUUGUCCCAGGAUUUACUUGUAUAUGCUCCCUGGUGUGUUUUUACAACUGAUCUGAAUUAACAUCAGCAACAAUUUGUAUUAUGAAAGCCAAGGCCACAUGAGUUUAUGUUUAUAGAAUUUAAUCUUACACAUGUCAUCAAAGUUGGGAAAUGAUGGAGGAAAUGAAAUGACAGUUUUCUGAGUAAAAUAGCUGCUGCUUUUCUUUCCUUUUGCAAGCCUAUCUGUUCUAUUCCAUGCGAUUCUGCUGGGACCAAUAAUCACCUGGCCCUGCUUUUCUAUCACUGAGAUGGUCAUGUCUGCAGACCCAUGUCAGGCUGGUCAAAGUACCCCUUUUGCCUAGACACUAUAAUUGGUUCAGGGUAGCACAUGGCCCAAGCAGGGCCAAUGAGAGUCAUGUUGAAAGAUAGGUACAGAUGCUGGGGGUAAAAAAGUUCUUUUUUCUGUACUCUGAUUAAGAGGAUGAUAAGUGUUUAGUGUGAUUAGUGAAGAAUAAGAAGGAAGCAUAGUCCAAAGAGAGGGAGAGCGGGGAAAAUAACAUCAUCAAAUUUCUGAAUCCUCUUUGGAUUUACCAGUUAUGUGAACCACUACUACUACCUUUUUUUUGUUUUUCUGAAGUCAGAUUGCUUGUGACUGAAACCAUCUUGUAUAAUACAGUAUCCUUAUUUAUUACUGUGAUAGUCAUUUGUGUUUGCCAAUAUUUCUGGUUCUCCUUAUUCCAGAUACUGGUAGGAUAAUACUAUCUAGGGGAGUUGGGCAUGGUCAUGUGACUGCUUUGGCAAAUGAGCUAUGUGACUUCUGUCACUUCUAGGUGGAAGCCUAGAAGUCUUAGCUAAUGCAUGAUUCAUUAUAUUUCAUUCUCCUUGUCAUAGU